rnacentral:rRNA from 1 species
UAGGGAAUUUUCCACAAUGGGCGAAAGCCUGAUGGAGCAACGCCGCGUGCAGGAUGAAAGCCUUCGGGUUGUAAACUGCUUUUGUUUGUGAAGAUUAUGACGGUAACAAGCGAAUAAGGGUCUGCUAACUACGUGCCAGCAGCCGCGGUCAUACGUAGGACCCAAGCGUUAUCCGGAAUUACUGGGCGUAAAGAGUUGCGUAGGUGGCAGAGUAAGUCUCAAUAUAAAGACAACGGCUCAACCGUUGGACCUAUUGGGAAACUGCUCGGCUAGAGGAUGAGAGAGGUCACUGGAAUUCCUAGUGUAGGAGUGAAAUCCGUAGAUAUUAGGAGGAACACCAAUGGCGUAGGCAGGUGACUGGCUCAUUCCUGACACUAAGGCACGAAAGCGUGGGGAGCGAACGGGAUUAGAUACCCGGGUAGUCC